CGUCAGGGUCCACCCAAAUAUCCACACCCUCUGGUAGCCUGCCCAGCCCCAGAGGUUCCCCUGAACUCCCUUCCCCUAUUAGAGCCUACAGAGGCAGUGCUGCCCAGCAGACAUCUCGGCUGGGAGUCAAACAGAGCAAGGCUAUUUUGGUCCCUCUCUCCACUCUAUGUGACCCUGAAAUGUGCCCUGGCCUUAGGAAACAUUCAGCUACAUCAGAGAACCUUCUUGCUGUGUUUUACGAAUGGAUUUUAUAAACCUGUGAUUCGAGCAUCCUCAGUUGCUUCUCGAGCCUUUCCGCUCCAUGAACUCUGGGACAGCUUGCCUGGUACUGCAACUGGAGGACAUCAUUGCAUCCAGAGAGCUUCCCACAUGACAGUCUGUGAGCAAGGGACUUCGCCUCCCUGGAUGGUGGUUUUCUUUUAUGUAAAAGAUGUGAUCGUAGUCUCUAUUUCUCAAGGGUGCUGUGAGAAACACACAGAAUAAGGCCACGUGAAAGUGUGUGGCAGGUAGCGGAUGCUCAGUAACGUGAAGCCUGCCCUUCCCGUAGCCUUUCUCUUCCUCCACUGGGUCUAGACUUCACAUUGUCCCAUGGUUCAAGAUCCUUGGUUCAUCCCGAGUCUUAUCAUUAUCCCAGAAGCUUGGAGGGAGCUCCUGGGGAAAUCCAGCUUCACGGUCCCACACUGAUCACUUCCCCUGGGCAUGGCCUGGUAAAUGCAGCUCAGAUCCGCUCCCCAGGCAAGUCAAGGAAGUUGCUGCCCAGAAACCAAGUGAGGACAUUUACAAGAACCGGCAGCAGCAGCAGCAGCAGCAGCAGAAACUGGAUUUGCUUUUUCACCAGAGGAUCCAGAUUUCCCUGUGGCCUCGCAAACAAAAAAGAAGGAAGACGGAGCAGCACAGUCAUCCCUUUGUGAAAAAGGCAUUCAGAGACGGGGUUUCACCGUGUUAGCCAGGAUGGUCUCGAUCUGCUGACCUCGCGAUCCGCCCGCCUCGACCUCCCAAAGUGCUGGGAUUACAGGCGUGAGCCACCGCGCCCGGCCUCAGCUGGUUUUUCAAAAGUCAUGGUGUGUAAUUGUCAGAACAGUGAACUUCGGAGAUUCACCGGAGGGGCGAGGCCACAGCUUGACCGCGAGCACCUGAGCAUCCUGCACCGCCUGCGACGGCCGUCAGGGGGCGCGAUGCCGCCUCACAGAACCUCAAGAGGCGCCCGGGUUCCGGCACAGACGCCCUGCGGCUCCAGGGGGCGGAGCCGAGCCGCCUCCUCAGGACCUACGCAGGAGACGCCUCCAUCCCUACAGGGACACCUGAGAGGACCCAGCCUCCUCCUCCUCAGGACCCACUCGGGAGACGCCGCUGGCUCUAUAGGAACACCUGGGGACCGUGGCCAGGGACGACCCAGCCUCCUUCUCCUCAGCUCCUCAGGAACGACUGGGGAAGCUGUGGCUUCAUGGUCCCCGAGGCUGCCCGAGGAAAGGUAUUUCAGGACAGCCAGGAGGGGGCGCACAUGCGCCGAGAAACUGUGAGCAAGAGCGUCUGUGCUGAACCAUGGCUCCACCAGAGGGCGCGCGAUCCCGCCCCAACCAACUUCCCGCUGAGGUGCCAGAAGCAGCGAGGAGCUUCAACUUCCUCAGGGCAGCACGAGGGUCAUGUUAAUUUGGUGUUCUUCAUUGAUUCCCCAACAGUUAUUGCCGUACCAGAUUUGCAGUGUCGCACAAAAUACUCCGGUCUAUUGCACUGAAAGCAUGGACACUCUCCCAGGUUGUUGGAACGUAAUAAGAGUUAAUGUGUGGUCUCUGCUGCAGUGUCCUGAAACAGAGCGCUAAGCCUCGGGAAUGUACGAAGUAAUGUGUCUUUCGUAUGCUAAUGAAAUGAUUGAUGGCUGGGGGCCCCUGGAUAGCCUCAGUGGGGCUGGCUGCCAAGGGAAGCAACCUUGUCAUUAGAGGAUUUGAAAUUUCUUCCCCCGUCCCGUCUCUGUGAAGGGGAGAGGUGCUGAUGGUUGAGUUGAUCACCUAUGGCCACAGACGUAACCAAUUUGCCUGUGUAAUAAAGGACAGGGUUGGGAGAGCAUCUGUGUUGCUCUCCCAACACAGGAGAUACUGGGAGAAUCAUGUCUGGUGAGGGCAUGGGAGGCCUGCAUUCUUCCACAUACCUCACCUUGUGCAUCUCUUCGUCUGGCUUUUCAUUUGUAGCGUUUAAAAGAUCCUUGGUAAUAAGUCAGGAAUAGUAAGUACACUGCGUUCAUGGGUUGUGCAAUGUGAUGUAGCAAAUUGCUGAACCCAAUAAGGGUGUUGUGGGAGCCUCCAAUCUGUAGCAAAGUCAGACAGAAGGUAACCUGGGAACCUACUGUUUGUGGUUGGCACCUUAAGUGGUUACAGUCUUGUAACGGAGUACCCAUAUUUUCUUACAGAAGAAAUGAAUUAGUUUUACCAUUUUGCUGUUCCUGCACUUAGCUCUUUAGGAAUGCAAUUAUAAGCUUUACUGUCUCUCCACCAGACACUUCCUAUACUGCAAACUUUUCCAACUGUGUGAUAACUUAAAAGUUCCAGGGACCAAACCUUGAAACAAACUGGCACUUCCAUAUCUCUCCCCCACCAGGAGAUUGGCAGCAGACAACAGUCAAUUUACAACCUGGCUCUGCCCAUGGUGGUGCUAGCAAGAUCACCUAAUGGAGAAAACAUCAGAGCAUGUCCCAUAGACCCUGCACCUCCUCACCUCAUCCCCUGCGUGCCAUUCUGGCAAGUCCGAAAGCCCUGCUUUCUGCCCAGAAAGUGGAAGUGCUUCCCUUAAGGCAAGAGCCUGUAUGUUCCCUUCAGCUAAGCUCUGGCAUAAAGUCACUUUCUUUUUACCAUCCUUGUGUUUGUCAUUUAAAUUUGCAAGCAACAAGGGGCAUGACGUGUAUUCCUAGGACUGAGUCCUUAGCCUGUGGGGUCUGAUGCUUUCUCCAUUUACUGUCACAAUUGGGUUGCACUGUAGGACACCCAGCUGGUACCCAAGAUUUGGUCUGUGUGGGGAAAAAACCGAUGUAUCUGGUAACAGAAGUGUUCUGUGUUGAGUGUUGAGAGUAUACUAUAAGACAGUUGUUUUUCCUAUUAUAACAUUUUGUCUUUCAACUUUUUUCUUCAUGUCUUCUGAGACGUAAAAGUUGUAAAUUUUGAGGAAAUAAAUUGAUUUAUUUUUC